CGCAUCUGUGCAUGCAGCAUAUCAAUAAGCGGAGGAAAAGAAACUAACAAGGGAUUCCCUCAGUAACGGCGAGUGAAGCGGGAAGAGCUCAAAUUUGAAAUCUUGAAAGGUCACCUUUCACGAAUUGUAGUUUAAAGAAGUGUUUUCUGUUACGAUCGUAAUAUAAGUUCUUUGGAAUAGGACAUCACAGAGGGUGAGAAUCCCGUCUAUGAUUGCGAUUUGUAGCUUUGUGAUACACUUUCAAAGAGUCGGGUUGUUUGGGAAUGCAGCCCAAAACGGGAGGUAAAUUUCUUCUAAGGCUAAAUAUCGGCGAGAGACCGAUAGCGAACAAGUACCGUGAGGGAAAGAUGAAAAGAACUUUGAAAAGAGAGUUAAAUAGUACGUGAAAUUGUCAAAAGGGAAGCGUUUAACACCAGUGUUGUUUUCUGAAAAUCAACCUCUGUUAGCUUUAUGCAUGUUUGUUUAGACCUAAUCAGCUAUCUUGCAUGUUCUAUUGUUUGCAGUGGUGCACUUUUCAGUUUACAGGUCAACAUCAGUUUUUUUUACCGUAAAAAAGUUAAAGAAAGGUAGCUCAUGGCUCCGGUCGUGAGUGUUAUAGUCUUUUUCCUAUGCGGUAGGAGAGACUGAGGUCUGCAGUGUAGGCUAUUUGGCUAGAUACUCAGGUGCUAUGUGAUACCAUUUCAUAAACAACUUGUUGAUUAUGUUUUGUCUAUUGCAUACUCGCUUGUACUAUCAUACCUACGCUUAGGAUGUUGACGAUCAGCUGAGCGCG
rnacentral:rRNA from 1 species